UACGUAGGUGGCAAGCGUUGUCCGGAUUCACUGGGCGUAAAGGGCGUGUAGGCGGCUAUGUAAGUCCGGCGUGAAAACUCACGGCUCAACCGUGAACCUGCGUCGGAUACUGCAUUGGCUAGAGGACGGUAGAGGCAGGUGGAACUAGCGGUGUAGCGGUGAAAUGCGCAGAUAUCGCUAGGAACGCCGGUGGCGAAGGCGAUCUGCUGGGCCGAUCCUGACGCUGAGGCGCGAAUGCUAGGGGAGCGAACCGG
rnacentral:misc_RNA from 1 species